GUCCUGCUCCCUUGGAGCUGCCUCCGGCGGUGCCGGACAGCCGGCCGAGGGAAAGCUCGGCCGCUCCGACAUUCCUGUCUUCCGAGCCGAGUCUGCUCUCUCUCCCUGUCUCCUGCUCUCGCUGGGUUAAUCGCUUCAAGAGAUAAGGGAGGGACUGGCGACGCGGAUGAGGGUGGAGAUAAACAGGCAGUUAGGAAGUGGCUACAAGUCGGCGGCGGAAAAGGGCGGACGCACCUGCCUCUGGGGUCCUCGGGGAAGUCACGGGGGCGGUACCCCUUACCCGCUAGGUCUGGCCGGGUAACAGCUCCAUAAGAUCAGAGGAUGCAUCUUCUAUUCACCAAGUGUGUUACAGAAUGUUUGAUGCCUACUGAGCCUUCAGAUAAAUGCUGAAAGACUAAACCUUUCCAAGUCUAACAACCCUUUGUAUCAGGCCUAUCCAGCUUUGGAGGCUGCGUUCUGGAGAUCUUUGAACACAGCUGGACUCUCAGGAUUUUCUGUCAGCAACUUACAGUUCCUCAAUUCGUUCAAGCUUGCAUUCAACAAAUAGUUGAGGACCUAUGGUGAGGCAGUCACUUGCCUCCUGUGAACAGGUACAUUCGAGGUUCACCAGACAACCAGUGCCCUCUAAGUUACCGCCACCUAGGCCACUGGAAAGGAAGAGACCGCUGAUUGCCGUGACAACUAUCUAAAUUGAACCAGAAACAUGGAAGUCUUGUAUUUGAAUGUAAAGCUAUACCAGUUCACCCAUUUCACAAACCUGUUGAGCACUUUCCCAGGUGUUUUGAGGUUUACAAAGAUAAAAGACAGUGUCUCUGACCUUAACAAUCUGGCGGAUUUCAAAUUCUCUCACGAAGCCUAUCUAAUUUAAUCCUCGAGUUAAGACCAUUCUCCGUGGUGAGAGUACGGGUGAUGGGACAUAUUCCUGUCUGCUGAACCAACUGAAGCUCUGAAGGGCAACCUGAUUCACGUAGUAUCACAUCCAGUGAGGGGAAAUGCUAGAAGCACAUUCAGAGACUCCAUUUCAGUCAUCUUUAACAUGACUCUGCCCUGAUUUUGAGUCCAAGGGAUUCCUUCAGAAAAGAACUUAGAAGCGAUUUGGUCUAUCAGCCAACAUGUGGGAACAAUUGGAGUUUGGAGAACCUUUUUCUACAGUGAUACAAUAGCGGAUGUUGUCCAACUUCACACCUUGCAAGUAUGGUGCUGCCUACGCAUUGCCUGAGAGGAUAUAGUCAUCACCACGGUAUGGAAGGAGAUCAUUCUUUGGAGUGGACAGUUCGCGAUUCAAACACCAACCCCUCACAGCUCAAAUAUGACAUUAAUUUCCACGUGCCUCCAUUUUCUGAGAAGUUCUGAUGACCUACGUCGUCGAACCGGUAGAAGAGACUAUUUCCCGCUUAGGCUGGAAGCGAGGUGGAAUUUUCUCCAGCUUCAGAGUUCCAAGAUGAAUACCAAGUUCCAAGGUUGAACACCUUCAACCACGCUGCACACGACAACAGCAACACCAAUAAUAUUUUGGGUGUAAGUGUUACCUUCUCUAAAGCUCAAAGCAUUUUUAAAGAUCACGUUCUGUGUUUGUAUAGCAUUGUUCUGGGUAAAGAGAGGAAAACAAUUGUUUUCUCAUUUGGCAAGUAGCAACUGACAAAUGGCAAAUAGCAAAAUCAGGGUAAGCACUAAGCAGCAUACCUGAGAUGCCUCGGCAUGAUCCAGGAGGAGGCAGGGCAGGGAGAGAACCUGAUGAGUCUCAAAAAUAGUGAUCUAUGUGUUCCGGGCCCACCGCUGCCUGGGACACUGUCUUAUCUCAGUUGUUACUGUUUUUUACGACUAUCGAUUUUGUUGUUGUUGCUGCUGUUCCGAUUCUCAGAUGGAUGUUUAAAUUGUCUUCAAAUAUCCCCUCGUUCCCAUCAUUCCUCCCUCCAAACAUACACACACACACACACACACACACACACACAUAUAUAUAUAUAUAUACACAUAUCUAUUUCCCCCACCAGACUGCUAGGGCUGUGCCUGAAAUUCUGGAGAUGAGGGUUGGAGGUGAGGGAGAUUUCCUGCUUUCUCCUCCUCUGCCCUCUUCUCUUCUCCUGGGAAUGAAGGAAACUGAUAUUUACUAAUUGUUUACUGCACGAUGUAUUUCAUUUCACUUAACAAUCAUAACAUCCUUACUUUGGUAUUACCUCCCUGCAGAAGGAUUAAGUGGAUUCUUAAUAUUCUCACAGUUUGUAAGAUGCAGGGCUGAGCUGUGAACCCCUGGCGCUUCACCCCUUCGGGUCUCUCAAUUCUAAAAUCCAGACAUUAUUUCUCCUUUUUUCCCUUCUAAGUUUGUUCCUGAUGUUCAUUUUAAACAUAUUUAGUCCAUACUAAGCUCUUUUGGGUAGAUGCUCAAAAAAUGGGAUCAAAUGAGUAUCUUUAUCCUUUUAUGGACACUGAGACUUUUAAGUUUUGUUUUCUUUUCUUUUUUGGUUUUCCUAAACAUUUUAUUUUCUUUUCUUUUUUUUUUUUUUGUUUUUUUUUUUUGUUUUUUUUGUUUUCCUCAGCAUUAAGCUGGCUGAGUUAACAUUCUUGUUCCAAAGGCUGGGACUAAGAUAAAAGCCAAGAGUCUGAUUUAUUUCUUCAGGGAUUCAUUCAAAUCAUACAAAGCUAUUCAUUGACUUGGCCUUUCCCUCCCAAAGACCCUAAUUUAGAGUGAUUUGAUUUCAUUACUGGUGAUUGGAAGAGUUUAUUGCAUAGAAACAAACUAUACGUUCCCUUGGAGAAAUAUGAAAGUCGUCACCAGCUGAGAUGACCCAUGAAUAAAACGGGUGAAAAGUGUUCUAAAGAGGAAGAAUCCAUAAGAGAGAUUAUUUUUAGAGAAAGAAAGACGAUUGUUGGAGGUAAUAACAUGUCUUAAGCUAGAUAUGUCAUUUGGUCUCCUUAGAUAGCUUCUGCAGGAUGGAAAAUACAUUUUUUUUUUCUCCCUCAAUCUGACACACAUCAUCAUUAUAGAAAAAAAAUUGCAUAGACUAAAACACAAACAGAAUAAACACACAUAAUUCCAGCCACCCAGAUAGAAUGACAAAUAGACACUGUGAUAUAUGAACUUCCAGCCAUUUCCUGCGCACAUAUAAUCUAACAGAAAUAAAAUCAUGGCAUACUGUAUCUUUGAUACUUGCUUUUUUCCCAUUAAAAUGAUGAAUACCUACUAAUAUCAAUAAGGAAACAUUUAUAACACAAUAAUUAAAGGCCUGAUAGUAUGAUAUGUUAGUUAUGAUAGUAUGAUAGUAUGUUAUCCCAUGAUUUACUUAACCUGUCCUUUAGAAUUAAGCAAUGAGAUUAUUUCCAUCUUUCCAAUUUUAAAUAAUGAUACACAGACUGUUCUACAAAAGCCUUAACAUAAAGGAAAAACUGGGAGAUGGUAACCCAUGUUUGGAAGUGGAAAUGUUGAUUAUAUUAAAAGUAUAAAAAAAAUUUAAAGCUUUUGAUAGAUGUUACUGCAUUAUUUUUCGAAAAAUUAUAUUAACAUAUAUAGCAGGGUCUGGCUGCAUCCAUUUUUCUAAAUCCACUGAUUGAUAGAAAUAAAUGUUAUUUCAUUGUUUUAAUAUGGACUCCUCUUAUUAGCAGUAACUGAGUAAUUUGGAGGCGCCUCAGUGGCUCAGUGAGUUAAGCGUCUGACUUCGGCUCAGGUUGUGAUCACCCAGUUCCUGGGUUCAAGCCCUGCAUUGGGCUCUGCGCUGACAGCACAGAACCUGGAUCCUGCUUUGGAUUUUGCAUCCCCCUCUCUCUCUGCCCCUCUCCUGCUUUUCCUCUCUCUCUCUCAAAUAUAAAUAAAUAAGCGUCAAAAGAUAAUAAUAACGUUGGGUCAUUUUUGCUAUGCAUAUUGUUUUGUGUAUUUCUUAUUUUGUAAAUUGUUUAGUAUUUUCUGACCACUGUUUUCUACCUUCCCAGGUACUAGCUGGUCACUUGCAGAAUUGUACAAACUCGCAUGAUUUUCAGUUUUGUAAUACAUUAUAAUAUAUGCUGCAAAUA